AUUGAACGCUGGCGGCAGGCCUAACACAUGCAAGUCGAACGGUAGCACAGAGAGCUUGCUCUCGGGUGACGAGUGGCGGACCGGUGAGUAACGUCUGGGAAACUGCCCGAUGGAGGGGGAUAACUACUGGAAACGGUAGCUAAUACCGCAUAACGUCGCAAGACCAAAGUGGGGGACCUUCGGGCCUCACACCAUCGGAUGUGCCCAGAUGGGAUUAGCUAGUAGGUGGGGUAAUGGCUCACCUAGGCGACGAUCCCUAGCUGGUCUGAGAGGAUGACCAGCCACACUGGAACUGAGACACGGUCCAGACUCCUACGGGAGGCAGCAGUGGGGAAUAUUGCACAAUGGGCGCAAGCCUGAUGCAGCCAUGCCGCGUGUAUGAAGAAGGCCUUCGGGUUGUAAAGUACUUUCAGCGGGGAGGAAGGCGGUGAAGUUAAUAACUUCACCGAUUGACGUUAUCCGCAGAAGAAGCACCGGCUAACUCCGUGCCAGCAGCCGCCGUAA
rnacentral:rRNA from 1 species